rnacentral:rRNA from 1 species
AUGAGCUCCACGGACAACACCACCCCUGGAGGCCUCUUCAUUGAGGAGUCGAAGUCGUGGCCGGAGGUGGUGGGGAAGUCCAUCAAGGAGGCCAGGAAGAUCAUUCACAAGAACAAGCCUGACGAUGUUAUCGUCGUUCUCCCAGCAAGGGCACCGGUCGCCCUGGACUUGAGGCCCAAACAUGUGCGCUUCUUUGUUGACACCGUCGCCGAAACACCCUUCACUGGCUAG